rnacentral:tRNA from 1 species
GGGGGUAUAGUUCAAGUGGUAGAGCACAUGCUUAGCAUGCAUGAGGUCCUCAGUUCAAUCUCCAGUACUUUCU